rnacentral:rRNA from 1 species
GACGAACGCUGGCGGCGUGCCUAAUACAUGCAAGUCGAGCGGACCAAAGGGAGCUUGCUCCUGGAGGUUAGCGGCGAACGGGUGAGUAACACGUGGGCAACCUGCCUGUAAGACUGGGAUAACAUCGAGAAAUCGGUGCUAAUACCGGAUAAUAAAAAGAACUGCAUGGUUCUUUUUGAAAGAUGGUUUCGGCUAUCACUUACAGAUGGGCCCGCGGCGCAUUAGCUAGUUGGUGAGGUAACGGCUCGACCAAGGCGACGAUGCGUAGCCGACCUGAGAGGGUGAUCGGCCACACUGGGACUGAGACACGGCCCAGACUCCUACGGGAGGCAGGCAGUAGGGAAUCUUCCGGCAAUGGACGAAAGGUCUGACGGAGCAACGCCGCGUGAGUGAUGAAGG